CUCUUAUCGAUAAGCCAUUGGAGGGCAAGUCUGGUGCCAGCAGCCGCGGUAAUUCCAGCUCCAAUAGCGUAUAUUAACGUUGUUGCAGUUAAAAAGCUCGUAGUUGAAGUGAGGGAGUGUGUGUUGAUGAGAGCUAGUCUCAAGUACUCACAACCUCCCCCUUCCAAUGGGUGUAUUGGGGUAUUCAUUUACUUCAUUACUCCUUUGGUCGUUUACUGUGAGAAAAUUAGAGUGUUCAAAGCGGGCGUUUGUUUGAAUAGAUUAGCAUGGAAUAAUGAUUGAAGGCUUUCGUGUUCGAUUUGAUUGGUUUGUUCAUGGAAGCAAGGUUAAAGGAACA
rnacentral:rRNA from 1 species